rnacentral:rRNA from 1 species
GAUGAACGCUAGCGGCAGGCUUAACACAUGCAAGUCGAGGGGUACGUUUUUUCGGAAACAGAGACCGGCGCACGGGUGAGUAACGCGUAUGCAAUCUACCUUUUACCAAGGGAUAGCCCGAAGAAAUUUGGAUUAAUACCUUAUAGUAUUGUUGAAUGGCAUCGUUUGACGAUUAAAGAUUUAUCGGUAAAAGAUGAGCAUGCGUCCCAUUAGCUAGUUGGUAUGGUAACGGCAUACCAAGGCAACGAUGGGUAGGGGUCCUGAGAGGGAGAUCCCCCACACUGGUACUGAGACACGGACCAGACUCCUACGGGAGGAAGCAGUGAGGAAUAUUGGUCAAUGGACGCAAGUCUGAACCAGCCAUGCCGCGUGCAGGAUGACUGCCCUAUGGGUUGUAAACUGCUUUUAUACAGGAAGAAACCCUUUCUUGCGAGAGAGAUUGACGGUACUGUAGGAAUAAGGAUCGGCUAACUCCGUGCCAGCAGCCGCCGUAA